GGGUGUGAAAUUUGAGUACCAGAGUUAUUAGUUUAUUAUUCGUUCAAUUUUUUUAUACCGAUUGAACAAGUUCAUUUAACUAUGAUGGAUCUAUUUAAUUGAUAUAUUUGAUUAUUUAUUAACUUGAAGAAGUUUUAGUUUUACUGGAGGUUUUAUAUAAUCUAUAAGCCUUGCAUUAUUUCUAGAGCAUCGCUCUAGGAU
rnacentral:lncRNA from 1 species